rnacentral:sRNA from 1 species
AUUCUUCAUCAUCACC